AAUUAGCCGCGAUUGAAAUGGAAAUCCCUUUAUUUUUUAUUUAAAAAAUAAAAGAUUGGAAUGGAAAGCGGGAGGACUU
rnacentral:sRNA from 1 species